GAUGAACGCUGGCGGCGUGCCUAAUACAUGCAAGUCGAACGAGGUGCUUGAGUAGCAAUACAAGAGUAUCCUAGUGGCGAACGGGUGAGUAACGCGUUGGUGACCUACCCCAAAGUGUGGGAUAACAGUCCGAAAGGAUUGCUAAUACCGCAUGUGGUUAUCAGGUUUAGAAACUGAUAACUAAAGGAGCAAUUCGCUUUGGGAGGGACCUGCGUCCCAUCAGCUAGUUGGUGAGGUAACGGCUCACCAAGGCUACGACGGGUAGGGGACCUGAGAGGGUGGCCCCCCACAAUGGAACUGAAACACGGUCCAUACACCUACGGGUGGCAGCAGUAGGGAAUAUUGCACAAUGGGCGAAAGCCUGAUGCAGCAACGCCGCGUGUGCGAUGAAGGCCUUCGGGUCGUAAAGCACUUUUCUGAGAGAUGAGCAAGGACGAGUAUCUCAGGAAUAAGUCUCGGCUAACUAACGUGCCAGCAGCCGCGGUAAAGUGUG
rnacentral:rRNA from 1 species